rnacentral:tRNA from 1 species
GCCACUGUGGCUCAGCGGUAGAGCGACUGAUUCGUAAUCAGUUGGUCGGGGGUUCAAUUCCCUCCAGUGGCUCCA